GCCCUUAGAAUUUGAUCCUGGCUCAGAUUGAACGCUGGCGGCAGGCUUAACACAUGCAAGUCGAACGGUAACAUAAAGAAGCUUGCUUCUUUGAUGACGAGUGGCGGACGGGUGAGUAAUGCUUGGGAAUCUAGCUUAUGGAGGGGGAUAACUACGGGAAACUGUAGCUAAUACCGCGUAGUAUCGAGAGAUGAAAGUGUGGGACCUUCGGGCCACAUGCCAUAGGAUGAGCCCAAGUGGGAUUAGGUAGUUGGUGAGGUAAAGGCUCACCAAGCCGACGGUCUCUAGCUGGUCUGAGAGGAUGACCAGCCACACUGGGACUGAGACACGGCCCAGACUCCUACGGGUGGCAGCAGUGGGGAAUAUUGCGCAAUGGGGGCAACCCUGACGCAGCCAUGCCGCGUGAAUGAAGAAGGCCUUCGGGUUGUAAAGUUCUUUCGGUAGCGAGGAAGGCACUUAGUUUAAUAAACUAGGUGAUGACGUAACUACAGAAGAAGCCCGGUACUCGU
rnacentral:rRNA from 1 species